rnacentral:misc_RNA from 1 species
GUUUUCUUGAGACCGAUUGCUUUAGAUGUAGAUCAUGGUUACUUACAGCUAAAUCAAUGUUUCCGAAUAAUUUUGGAAUACACUUUGAAUGUUAUGAAAUAGAAAAAAAUUUACGUUGUGUUCAAAGAGCAGCUAGAUGUUUCAGUUGCUUGAAGAUUUUCCAAACGAAGCAAUUCUCUGGAAAGAGAUUGAAAACUUUACACCAAUAUUAUGUAUGGACAUAUCUUGCUUAUCAGAGGAACAAACAUUUUUUAGAGAAAUGUUUUCUGCACUCCCUUUAUCUAUCCAACAGAAAUUAUUAUCAGUAUGUGCUGAAAGAAGUGAAGACACAAUGGAACAUUGUCGUCUAGUACUUUUACUUCUAAAUCGUUUCCCUCAAUCAUCAACUGAAUUAGCAUUAAAGCUCAUGGAUACAAUGAUAACAGCCGAAAAACACAACCAAUGCCCAAAUGUUAUAAACUGUUACAGAAAGAUUUUAGUUUGUGAUCUUGGUCCUUUAUUAGUAUCAACAAGUACAUUAAAUCAGAAAAAUCUCUAUAAAAUGUUAACAAAAACUACUGAAUUUUAUAUUACAUAUGCUAUGGGAGGACAUUCUAUUAUUCAGAACUUGCCUGAUACAGAAAAUUAUAUUAAAACACCUUGGGAAGAUUUAUUUGCUUCAUGUGAACGUAUCGGUAAAAAACUUUCUUGGGAAUUAAGAUCUGUUUUAAGUCAAAGUGAUAAACGAAAAGCUUGGAAAAAGGUAUCAAGUUUUGCAAAAAAGUUUGUAAUUGCUUCCAAUAACAGUGAACUUAGCAAACAAUUAGUGUUUUGUGGGAUGAUAUUGUUUGUCCGACAUGUUUUUGAUUAUAAUAAAUCAUUAAAAAUUGAAAAUGGUUCAGAAUAUUUGUUAGUUAAAGCAAUUAAAGGUCCAAAAGUACAAAUUAAUAAGCCUCCUUUGAAACAAGCUGUACUUUCCAUAGCAACUAAAUUAAAUGAAUCUUUGAUUGGUAUUACCGAUGACUCGUCUGAAGUUCUUGAUCAUUUCAAAAUGGCUUUCAACUAUUGGGAAUUACUUACUAAUAAAGAACCAAUGUGCACUGAUUAUUGGAAAUUAAGUGCUCAAAUUAAAGUAGAUACAUUCAUAGGGCAAUUCCUUAAUGAUAUUGAAUUUUAUCAAGGGAAAUACAAGAAUCUUUUCAAAGCUGUACCAGUUCAUGAAAGUAUUAGAAAAUCAUUAUCAUUAGUGACCUUAUACUAUUGUGUACAAGAAUUCAAGAAAUGUACAGAGCACAUUUUCGAGGUAGUAGAUCAAAUAGAAAGUCUUAGCUUGUAUGGAAGUGUGUCCACAGAAAUAGCUAAUCCACCUGAAGAUAGAGAAAUGUAUUAUAUUCAAAUAGCAAGAUUGCCCGUUUUACAGUAUUGUGUUAAGAUAAUGGUUCAAAUACUCUACAAUCAACUUUCCAAUUAUCCAUCAACUAGUGAUAUUCUUAUUGGUCAUCUUUUAGUAUUGUCACAAAUGGUUUGGCCAGAAGGCAAAGCAAUUGCUGAAGAUAUGUAUAAUCACAUAGGGAAAUUGCCUUUGUUUACAUAUCCUCAAUUUCCAGCUUAUAUUACUAACAUAGAUAUCAUUGAACAUUUUAUGGCUAUGUUUAUGGAAAAUGAUAAAUGUGUCUUAAAUGUAUUUCCAUGUGUAGCUUCUUCAUUAAGUCCACGAAUAUCAACCAGAGGAGCUGGCAAAGGAGUAAAAGAAGAGUUUCGGUCAGCAUUGAAAAAACAAGUAAAACGAUGGUCUGAACCAGUGGAUGAAACUAUGUUAUUAUUUUUUAAGAAUGAAAGAGAAAGUUUAAUGAAGACUGCUACUCUUAUGGAAAAAUCAUUAACUUUUUAAAAGUAUAGCAGUAUUUGAUUCAGCCAAUGUUAAACCAGGAACAUCAGUUGAUCCACAGACACUGAAACAUUAUGAUUAAAUUAAACACAAACAUAGUUAUCAAUGUUAUGAAUGACACCUUACUCUUGGAUAAGUUUCAAAUUUCCAUUCUUGACUCUAAACAGCCUGAUGCUUUGAUUCAUUAAACUGUUGUUUACAUCCGUCAAUCCUUGUUCUAUUGAUAUGGCUAGACUUGAAUUCUCCAUGCUAUUUAACAGUAUUGCACAAAACCCUGCUGGUGUCGAUCCAUUGAUUAAAGGUAUUUCUACAUUAUAAUGUUUGCUUCUAAAAGUGUUCAAAGAAACUAUACAUGAUCCCCGUGACAUUCUUAAUGUAUGAAACCUUUCAGGAUAAGUACCCAAGUAAAAACUUGGCAUCCAUUGACUGUUAUAAUAUGCUAAACAUUCACCAAUUAUAAAGAGCAAACACAUUAAAGCAUAGACCGACAUUGUUGUGAGACUGUAUUAUAAUAACUGUAUUCCAUACAGUGAUAGUUCCGGUCUAAUAUAUCAUGUCCAUAUGUAACAUUUUCAUAGGUGGGGACUUAAUUGGAGCUCUUGGACCAUCAGGAGCCGUAAUAUAGUUUGAUCCAUAAAAAUGGCCAAAAUUUUGAUGUGCUGGUUUACCAUCACUACUAUUGAACUAGGGUUGGAAAGUUUCUGUACCCACUGUUGAUGGCACAAGAAAAAAAACUAUUAGUAACAGCAGCUGUUCUGGAUUCAAUUCUCCUAAGAGUCUCAAUACAUGUAACAUUUAAUUGUAAUAAAUUUUAUUUUUAUAUUA